ACCCAUAGGCUGCUUCCGAAACUGCUGUGCUUGAGUGUGGGAGAGGCGCGUGGAAUUGCAGGUGUAGCGGUGAAAUGCGUAGAUAUCUGCAGGAACACCCGUGGCGAAAGCGGCGCGCUGGACCACAACUGACGCUGAGGAACGAAAGCUAGGGGAGCAAACAGGAUUAGAUACCCUGGUAGUCCUAGCCCUAAACGAUCAGGACUUGGGGUGCCUUCCGUUCGGAAGUCGUCCCGGAGCUAACGCGUUAAGUCCUGCACCUGGGGAGUACGGUCGCAAGACUGAAACUCAAAGGAAUUGACGGGGGCCCGCACAAGCGGUGGAACAUGUGGUUCAAUUCGACGCUACGCGAGGAACCUUACCUGGGCUCGAAAUGCUUCUGACCAGCUGUAGAAAUACGGCCUUCCCGCAA
rnacentral:rRNA from 1 species